rnacentral:rRNA from 1 species
UGGGGAAUCUUGCACAAUGGGGGCAACCCUGAUGCAGCGACGCCGCGUGUGCGAUGAAGCCCUUCGGGGCGUAAAGCUCUGUCGACCGGAACGAUAAUGACGGUACCGGGAGAAGAAGCUGCGGCUAACUACGUGCCAGCAGCCGCGGUAAUUCGUAGGUGGCAAGCGUUGUCCGGAUUUACUGGGCGUAAAGGAUGCGUAGGCGGAUACUUAAGUCAGAUGUGAAAAUCCCGGGC